AUGAACAUUCAGAAAAACAAAAGAGCUUAUAUGCAGAUAGUGUAUGGAGCAAGGACGACGACUCACGGCUUGGAUGAUCUUCUCCAGAGCGCCGGGGCCGUGCGUCUCGAUGAAGCGCUCGACGGACUUGCGCGCGUCGAGGCUCAUCAUCUGCAGCACCUUCCUCUGCCUCUCGCUGUAGCCGGGGCUCACGUACUGCCCGAUCUUGAAGUAGCGCCGGACGUGCGUCUCGUAGAUGUAGGCCGCGCCGUUGAAGAUCGGCAGCACCAGCCAGCAGCAGAAGAGGAGCUUCAUGUAUGGCCACAGAGGGAGCCUGAAACAUACGUACAUAUAUACAUAGGCAGAGCGAAAUCUUGA
rnacentral:rRNA from 1 species